UCCAAUAUUCCGUAAUCCGUUUAGUCCGCAUCGUUCAUCACGAUGCGCCUGUAGCCGAUUACGUGCUGAUUUGUUUGUCGGGCUUCCUUCCUAUAAAUACAAAACAUUACUUUUUUCGCCAUUCUAAUGUUAAUAGAAUUUUUUAGAGUAACUAAAUCUCUACAGGGAGCAAAAACUGUCAAAUACUGUCGCGUUCUCUGUUCUAAAGCACGACAAGUUAUUUCUUCGAUGGUGGCGGUCUUGUAGCUUGCGGUACGAACAGCAUCACACACCACGAAUACGUACACACACGCACACACCACGAAGUCGAUAUCACAGGGAAUACAUCGUACUACAUGAACGAGUCGUUAGUUAUAAGAUUACACGACACUGAUAUUAGUGGACGGCGAUAUUAAAAAAAAGAAAUUCCACACAGUACGUACACUUCUCGUUGCGUUCGACCUCAGCGUAUGGAUCGUUCCAAACAGAAAGUAUGCCCAACACAAUAUAUUGAGAAAAGGGAAGACAGUGUAAAUAUCUAAGGCAUCGAACAGUCGAGAAAGGGAAGCCGUGUAUAACGUCAACGUCAUUGCGUGUAUGGGAACACGUAUCGCUCUUUCUUUCUAUAUAUACAGGCCUCAACAAUUCUCCUAGAGCACUCACCUUCCCGCAACUGGCUGGAGGCUGUAGAGUUACGCGUGCGGAUACAACCGAUUCACUGAACUGUACGGGAUAAACACUGGAGUAAAUGCGUUUCUGAGACGUCAGAGGCGCCGUGACACCCAGCAAAAACGCGUAUACGAAGAGAAGAGCGAUCACUAUCCACACGCACCACAACCCCCAGCAUAUCACUUGAGUAUAAGCCAGUUUACGACUUAAACAAACGGCGAAGUCCUCAUUAAAUUCCCGAAUUUUUUAGGAGUUUCUAUGUCGAGGAAGAUACAUCGAAACGAGGAUGCAGGCACGUUCAGUCUCAUGCGACGGAAGAAAUUUUUAACCCUCGUGUGUGUAUAUUGAAAGACGUUCCACUAGGAUGCUCUUCCCCCACUCGUGGUCCACUAGCGCGCUAAACUGGCACACUACUCGUUUGCUCUUGUCGACGGAGAUGGUCGAUCAAUCCGUGGAGGCUCGUGCAAGGGAAAAGAUCGUGGAUCACUGGCGCGAAAUGGUGUCGUCGUCGUCUACCGACGCGACGCGUCACCAGCAUUACCUAUGCUGGUGAUAACGAUGAUAGUAUAUGCAUAGAAGCGUAGUAUCGCACUGUCACGAGGUACCGUUAGGUUAUAAGAGAUCCGUUGACCGCGCUUCUCUUUCCCCUGCUCAGAGAGCUCUGGUCUAUUAAUAAAAGGCAGCACUGCGCUCGCCACUAACCGUCCAAUCGACUGCGAGAAGAAUACAUUGACGCACUGGGCAGCUUCGUUUCGUAACACACGAUGAACAUAACUUGUAACUUAACAUUUCUGCUUAUCAUCUUUCUAUUUUUCUACUUCGUCAAGCUUCCGUUACAUGCCACUGAACUUUUCAUAGAUUAGGAAGCAAUGAAGACCCUACAUUAUGAGCACAGUCGAGUGCAACUAGGCUCCCUUUAAAUAUGGAAAAAGAAGAAAGUGUCUCAACAUCUUGUACACAUCCAUCCCUCUACUUACAUAGCCAAAGCUACAUUGUACAACAUGGUGCAACCUAGACUACCUUCAGCUAAAUGAAACUGUGGAAUAUUUAGGUUAUUCCUUUUUAGACUCCCUGAGCUUUAAGUACCUUUUGGAUUCAAUAUUCUAUCUAGCAUCUCAGUAGAUUUUAUGUCCUCCCGAAAUCGAAACUCAAGUGGUAAGAAAGUUCUCCUCCUACACUUAUUCUUAGGCAAAAGAGGUCCACGUUGCACUCGACUAUACAGGUAUAGAAGACGCGUGCUUUUCUGGCCACGUCCGAGGCAACCGCGAUGCAUUCAGCACCACGCGGAUGACUUAUUAAUAAUAGAACGUGUCCAAGGAACGAAGCGAAAAAGAAUGCAAUAUAUUUUAAGUGCCAAAGACGUUGCUAAUGAAAUAUUUUUUCGACAGGCAAUUUGAUGAGAUCGAAACUCUAUCUAACCCUGGCAGAGGAGGAAAUAACUAAACGAUAUCUGAAGAUAACCGUGCUGACGCUGAUGCACCAAUUCUACGAAAUUUGAUACACCUGCCCGUACAUAUUUUGCAAUAGUGGGUUGGCUAUCUCGUACGGACCGUGGAUCGAGAAGGAAGAAAUCAUCGUUGUCGCUGGCCUACGACAAAGCGAUCCUCUUCGCGGUUUAAAGUUACCAACGAGCAACGCCAUUCAUGUAUGCCAGCUUUCAAGAGGAUGGAGUACGCGUACCGUACACUGGAUAUUUAGAUACAAGCACACGCACACGUGUCGUUGUAGGCGAGAUCAUUACGGCACACGCGCUGGAUUGACAGGAUUCCAGGGAGAAAGUCACUUCUCAUCGUGCGCGGCACAAAGGACAUUCUACCGAGGUCAAGGUCUCCGGCUGCUCGAUACAACUUUAAUCGGAAUCGAUUACCGUGUACUAUUUCUCUGAUACAUUUCACUCGCUACCGAAGUUGGGUCGCAACUCGAUCAGACACUUCUUGAAUGAGUCUACAAUCAAAUAGUAGCUGACGAUUUUAGGUCUCCUAUUCUUGUUACAUUGCCACGAGUGAAAAUAAAAUUUACAAUAUAUAAGUUAGCUAAACUGUUAGCCUUCUGACACUCACUGGCAAUACGGGUUUAUAUUAUCGUUCCCUACAUUUCAGGACCUCCUGACCCUAAACUCGUUCAAAAAGCCAAUGGUCGAGUCACGACCUAUUCUAGUCAAAGGUGAUAACACCAUAACUUUACAUAUUUUUAUUUUACGUUCUUAGAGCAGACAGAAAAAAAGAACAAUGGAGAGACCUCGACUAUAGGGGGCAAAUGCAUAGACAAGAAUCCUGUGUAACUAGUUCUCGAGUUACCAGUUCAGGUCACUAUGUGCGACCUAUUUGCCGUCGACCUCGACCUUCGCUGGUAGGGUAUAACAUCAGUCACCUAGGCGAUAGAAACAGGGACUUUAUGCGUUCGUAAUUGGAUCAUUGUGACACGGACAAAAGUAAUUGGCGCUUUGUGAAGGGUGUUGAGCGAAUACACGCGCAGGGGUACCUGUUGCCCACUACGGAUAUUUAUAACGCGAACAACCAGGGGGCAGCAUGCGAACAUCUUGUAACCAUUAUACGGUCACCUCGUGUUCACCGAGAAAUGCGAUUGGCACGAGAAUGAUCCGCAGCUCAACGGUAAAAGGAAAAGGCGAUCGACGACAAAGGAGAAUCCAUUUGUGUCGUGUGGCUCAUCCAACCACCAUCGUGCCUCGCAACGACUGGUUUCGCCUUAACGCUUUACCGACCGAGUUAUAAUUAGCAAUUUCAAGAAUCGCUGGUCGAGCAAGCUAUUCCUGGCAUUUUAGAAAUUUCUCUGUACCAUAAACGGGUAUUUAUCAAAAGCGUGUACAGCGUGGCUCUCCUUGAAUAUUCAAGUAUACGCUCCAACUGUACAUCUAGCAAACUCAAAGCUGUUUCGACGACGAAAGGUAACUAUGAUCGCAUCCAACAGAUGUCAGUAUACAAAUGGCAAACAACUCGUUAAAUGUAUCAUAGAUUUUAGAUGAUCACAUUCCAAGAAGUAGAUGUUAACGAGAUGGAAUUGUUACACGAUUGGUAGCGAAGAUUAAGAAACACAAAGAAGAUAUUGCGAUGAACAAUGUGACACUUAUCAGGGUGUCGACGGGUCUUCGUGGUCACCGAUCCCCCGCCUUUUACACCCCUUUUCUCGGGGAU